CCUCCCCGGGGAAAGCCUUAACGGCGCGGGAUGGGGUCGCGGCCCAUUAGGUAGACGGCGGGGUAACGGCCCACCGUGCCCGCGAUGGGUAGCCGGACUGAGAGGUCGACCGGCCACAUUGGGACUGAGAUACGGCCCAGACUCCUACGGGAGGCAGCAGUGGGGAAUUUUGCGCAAUGGGGGCAACCCUGACGCAGCAACGCCGCGUGCGGGACGAAGGCCUUCGGGUUGUAAACCGCUUUCAGCAGGGAAGACUUUGACGGUACCUGCAGAAGAAGCUCCGGCUAACUACGUGCCAGCAGCCGCGGUAAUACGUAGGGGGCGAGCGUUAUCCGGAUUCAUUGGGCGUAAAGCGCGCGUAGGCGGCCGCCUAAGCGGAACCUCUAAUCCCGGGGCUCAACCUCGGGCCGGGUUCCGGACUGGGCGGCUCGAGUGCGGUAGAGGCAGGCGGAAUUCCCGGUGUAGCGGUGGAAUGCGCAGAUAUCGGGAAGAACACCGAUGGCGAAGGCAGCCUGCUGGGCCGCCACUGACGCUGAGGCGCGAAAGCUGGGGGAGCGAACAGGAUUAGAUACCCUGGUAGUCCCAGCCGUAAACGAUGAAUGCUAGGUGUGCGUGCAGAGAUGUAGGUGUGCCGAAGUUAACGCGACAAGCAUUCCGCCUGGGGACUACGAUCGCAAGAUUGAAACUCAAAGGAAUUGACGGGGGCCCGCACAAGCGGUGGAGCACGUGGUUUAAUUCGAUGCAAACCGAAGAACCUUACCUGGGCUUGACAUACAAGUGGUAGGAGCCGGAAACGGUGACGACCUGCCGCGAGGUAGGAGCUUGAACAGGUGCUGCAUGGCUGUCGUCAGCUCGUGUCGUGAGAUGUUGGGUUAAGUCCCGCAACGAGCGCAACCCCUGCGGCCAGUUGCCAAUCAGCAAUGAUGCACUCUGGCAGGACUGCCAUCGAUAAGAUGGAGGAAGGUGGGGAUGACGUCAAGUCAUCAUGGCCCAUAUGUCCAGGGCGACACACGUGCUACAAUGGGAUGCACAGAGGGAAGCGAGCCUGAGAGGGUGAGCGGAGCCCGAAAAGCAUUUCUCAGUUCGGAUUGAAGUCUGCAAUUCGACUUCAUGAAGAUGGAAUCGCUAGUAAUCGCGGAUCAGCCAAGCCGCGGUGAAUCCGUUCCCGGGCCUUGCACUCACCGCCCGUCA
rnacentral:rRNA from 1 species